CCAGCAUCUUCAGAGUGGUCACAGUUAUGAACAUUCCAUCGUAUAUAGGAACACUGCAAGAUUGAGCUUUCAUUGCCCCGACAUUUCACAUUGUCAAGAAAAAUGUAGCCUAUACCUUGUCCAUACCCUGCUUCUCCUCGAGCUUUGACGGCAGCACCACAGCCUAAAGAUCGGCAUGCUACAUUUGCAGCCUUCAUGUCCCAUGCAUCAUCACAUACUGUUCCCCACUGCAACAGGAAAAAUAUUUCCAAACGUCCUUCACAACGAUGGCUACCAUUUACCAAGCGAAUCGACCC